rnacentral:rRNA from 1 species
GGACUACUUGGGUAUCUAAUCCGGUUUGCUCCCCCAGCUUUCGUCCCUCACUGUCGGAGCCGUUCUGGUGAGACGCCUUCGCCACAGGUGGUCCCCCAAGGAUUACAGGAUUUCACUCCUACCCCUGGAGUACCUCUCACCUCUCCCGGUCCCUAGUCUGCCAGUAUCCCUGAGACGCCUUCCGGUUAAGCCGGAAGAUUUCCCCAGAGACUUAACAAACCAGCUACGAACGCUUUAAGCCCAGUAAUAGUGGCCACCACUCGAGCCGCCGGUAUUACCGCGGCGGCUGGCACCGGUCUUGCCCGGCCCUUUCUUCACUGGUUUUUUACACCAAUGGACAGCCCGAUUUUACGGGCACUCAGAGUUCCCUUGUCACGGUUUCCCGCAUUGCAAAGUUUUCGCGCCUGCUGCACCCCAUAGG